rnacentral:rRNA from 1 species
AUACGGAAGGUCCGGGCGUUAUCCGGAUUUAUUGGGUUUAAAGGGAGCGCAGGCGGAGAUGCAAGCGUGACGUCAAAUUUCGGGGCUCAACCCCGUCUCGCGUCGCGAACUGCGUCCCUUGGUUGCGGGAAGGGGAGGCGGAACUCGUGGUGGAGCUGGGAAAUGCAUAGAUAUCACGAAGAACUCCGAUCGCGAAGGCAGCCUUCCGGCCCGUCAACGACGCUCAUGCUCGAAGGUGCGGGUAUCAAACAGGAUUAGAUACCCUGGUAGUCCGCACAGUAAACGAUGGACACCCGCGGUUUGGCCUGUAUGGCUGAGCCGCCAAGCGAAAGCGUUAAGUGUCCCACCUGGGGAGUACGCCGGCAACGGUGAAACUCAAAUGAAUUGACGGGG